rnacentral:rRNA from 1 species
AUUGAACGCUGGCGGCAGGCCUAACACAUGCAAGUCGAGCGGAGCUGCCGACGGGUGGGUAAUUCCUAGGAAGCUGACUGGCCGUGGGGGAUAACGUCAGGUAACGGGCGCUAAUACCGCAUACUAUCAGAUGAGCCUAGGUGGGAGUAGCGAGUUGGUGGGGGAAAGGCCUACCAAGGCGACGAACCGUAACUGGUCUGAGAGGAUGAUCAGUCACACUGGAACUGAGACACGGUCCAGACUCCUACGGUAGGCAGCAGUGGGGAAUAUUGGACAAUGGGCGAAAGCCUGAUCCAGCCAUGCCGCGGGUGUGAAGAAGGUCUUCGGAUUGUAAAGCACUUUAAGUUGGGAGGCGUUACCAACAGAAUAAGCACCGGCUAACUUCGUGCCAGCAGCCGCGGUAAUUC